GAUGAACGCUGGCGGCGUGCCUAAUACAUGCAAGUCGAGCGAAUGGAUUAAGAGCUUGCUCUUAUGAAGUUAGCGGCGGACGGGUGAGUAACACGUGGGUAACCUGCCCAUAAGACUGGGAUAACUCCGGGAAACCGGGGCUAAUACCGGAUAACAUUUUGAACCGCAUGGUUCGAAAUUGAAAGGCGGCUUCGGCUGUCACUUAUGGAUGGACCCGCGUCGCAUUAGCUCGUUGGUGAGGUAACGGCUCACCAAGGCAACGAUGCGUAGCCGACCUGAGAGGGUGAUCGGCCACACGGGGACUGAGACACGGCCCAGACUCCUACGGGAGGCAGCAGUAGAGAAUCUUCCGCAAUGGACGAAAGUCUGACGGAGCAACGCCGCGUGAGUGACGAAGGCUUUCGGGUCGUAAAACUCUGUUGUUAGGGAAGAACAAGUGCUAGUUGAAUAAGCUGGCACCUUGACGGUACCUAACCAGAAAGCCACGGCUAACUACGUGCCAGCCGCCGCGGUAA
rnacentral:rRNA from 1 species